AUGCUGUCACUGCUCCACACAUCAACGCUGGCAGUCCUUGGGGCUCUGUGUGUAUAUGGUGCAGGUCACCUAGAGCAACCUCAAAUUUCCAGUACUAAAACGCUGUCAAAAACAGCCCGCCUGGAAUGUGUGGUGUCUGGAAUAACAAUUUCUGCAACAUCUGUAUAUUGGUAUCGAGAGAGACCUGGUGAAGUCAUACAGUUCCUGGUGUCCAUUUCAUAUGACGGCACUGUCAGAAAGGAAUCCGGCAUUCCGUCAGGCAAAUUUGAGGUGGAUAGGAUACCUGAAACGUCUACAUCCACUCUCACCAUUCACAAUGUAGAGAAACAGGACAUAGCUACCUACUACUGUGCCUUGUGGGAGGUG